rnacentral:tRNA from 1 species
GGGCCUGUAGUUCAGAUGGUUAGAACUCCUCGCUCAUAACGAGGCUGUCGUAGGUUCGAGUCCUUCCGGGCCCA